UACGUAGGGGGCAAGCGUUGUCCGGAUUCAUUGGGCGUAAAGAGCGUGUAGGCGGCCAGGUAGGUCGGUUGUGAAAACUGGAGGCUCAACCUUCAGAGGUCGACCGAAACCAUCUGGCUAGAGUCCGGGAGAGGAGAGUGGAAUUCCUGGUGUAGCGGUGAAAUGCGCAGAUAUCAGGAAGAACACCCGUGGCGAAGGCGGAUCUCUGGGCCAUUACUGACGCUGAGGAGCGAAAGCGUGGGGAGCGAACAGG
rnacentral:rRNA from 1 species